rnacentral:rRNA from 1 species
GGCUUUUUGAUAAUAAUUUAAAGUUUAGCCGGCUCACUGAAUAAUUUUAAAGGCCGCGGUAAUUUGACCGUGGUAAGGUAGCAUAAUCAUUAGUUUUUUAAUUGAAAGCUGGAAUGAACGGUUGGAUAAGAAAAUGACUGUCUCUAUUUAAUUUUKUAAUGAAUUUUAUUUUUAAGUAAAAAAGCUUAAWUAUGUAUUAAAGACGAGAAGACCCUAUAGAGUUUAAUAAUUUUUUUUUAUUUAUUUUUUUUUAGAAUUUAUUAAUAUUAAAAGAAAAAAUUAUUUAAUUGGGGAGAUUAAAAAAUUUAGUAAACUUUUAGAAGUUAAAUUCAUAAAUAAAUGUAUUUUUGAUCCAUAAAUUAAUGAUUACAAGAWUAAAUUACCUUAGGGAUAACAGCGUAAUUUUUUUUUAGAGUUCAAAUUAAAAAAAAAGUUUGCGACCUCGAUGUUGGAUUAAAAGAAAUMUUUGGUGUAGAAGCUGAAUAAUUAGGUCUGUUCGACCUUUAAAAUUUUACAUGA